AAUCAGGUAUAAGAUGUGAUCCAGAUAGUAUAGCUUCACUUGUUGAUUCUUGCACAGUCAAAGAACCAUGAGGAGGGAUCACCUUAUCGGUAGCAACAAUAGCAGGAAUGGAAGUUGAUGAAUAGAAAUUAGAAGCUGACUUCAAAUCAACAUUGUCUGUUGAGUUGUUCUGUUUCUCCUUAUCCAAAGUCAUAUAAGUUUCCCAUGAAACUAACAACCACUUGAUUGAACUAGGUUGCAAUCUCAAAUCUAGAGGAUCAAUGGAAAUAUUAGCAUCCACUUUGCGAAUAUCUAGGGAACCAUUCUUCCAAGGGAUAUUUAACUUUAAAUUCCCUGAAAAUCCACCUUUACUCCCAGUCAGAAUUGGAGUAGCAUUAGAUGGACAAUGCCCUGAAAACAACUCGCCAGAACUUGAACCUGCUGGACAAGGAGAGCAAGUUUCAUUAUCAACAUCAUCCAUCUUAAGCAGUUCAACCACCCCUCCUUGGAACUUUAUAAAGUUUGUUAGCUGACUUAUUCCUAGAAAGCUCUCAACACUUAUAUCUGAAUUUGACUUAGCAUCUUCAGACACACAAGCUCCACAUUCUGCUUCAGAUAUUCG
rnacentral:misc_RNA from 1 species